rnacentral:rRNA from 1 species
GGGUGGUAAUGCCGGAUGUUCCACAUGAGCGCAUGCGAGUGUGGGAAAGGCUUUUGCGGCAUGGGAUGGGGUCGCGUCCUAUCAGCUUGUUGGUGGGGUAACGGCCUACCAAGGCGUUGACGGGUAGCCGGCCUGAGAGGGCGACCGGCCACAUUGGGACUGAGAUACGGCCCAGACUCCUACGGGAGGCAGCAGUGGGGAAUAUUGCACAAUGGGCGCAAGCCUGAUGCAGCGACGCCGCGUGCGGGAUGGAGGCCUUCGGGUUGUAAACCGCUUUUGUUCAAGGGCAAGGCACGGUUUCGGCCGUGUUGAGUGGAUUGUUCGAAUAAGCACCGGCUAACUACGUGCCAGCAGCCGCGGUAAUACGUAGGGUGCAAGCGUUAUCCGGAUUUAUUGGGCGUAAAGGGCUCGUAGGCGGUUCGUCGCGUCCGGUGUGAAAGUCCAUCGCUUAACGGUGGAUCCGCGCCGGGUACGGGCGGGCUUGAGUGCGGUAGGGGAGACUGGAAUUCCCGGUGUAACGGUGGAAUGUGUAGAUA